GACGAAGGGGGCUAGCGUUGUUCGGAAUUACUGGGUGUAAAGCGCGUGUAGGCGGUUGCCAUAGUCAGGUGUGAAAGCCUUGAGCUCAACUCAAGAAAUGCACUUGAUACUGGGCGACUAGAGGACCGGAGAGGAUAGUGGAAUUCCCAGUGUAGUGGUGAAAUACGUAGAGAUUGGGAAGAACACCAGUGGCGAAGGCGGCUAUCUGGACGGUUUCUGACGCUAAGACGCGAAAGCGUGGGGAGCAAACAGG
rnacentral:rRNA from 1 species